CUGCCGCGUCCAUUGGGUACCUCGUCCGAGCUCACCCGCCUCUGGAGGAAAGAGCCAGACUUCUCAGCGGUCGGUCUGUUCAACAAGUGGGACCCCAGGGCCUUCUGUAUGUUCAGCAGAGAGAGCCUGCAGUGACCUCCCCAAAGGAUGGCUCCAUCUCCAUUCUGGGUUCUGAUGAUGCCACCACUUGUCACAUUGUGGUCCUGAGGCACACAGGUAAUGGGGCAGCCUGCCUGACACAUUGUGAUGGAAGCAACACCAAAGCUGAGGUCCCCUUGAUCAUGAACCCCAUAAAAUCCUUUUCCGACCACACUCAAUGUGGAAGGCUAGAAGGGCACCUCCUGGGAGGCUUCAGUGACGAUAGGAGGCAGUUGUCACAAAAACUUACCCAUCAACUUCUCAGUGAAUUUGACAGUCGAGAAGAUGAUAGUCACUUAGUGACAUCAUGCGUGACAGAAUUAAAUGGCCGAGAAGAAAAUGAAAACCACUUCCCAGUCAUUUAUGGCAUUGCUGUUAACGCUAAAACUGCAGAGAUUUACAGAGCCUCUUUUCAAGAUCGGGGUCCAGAGGAAGAACUACGCACUGCGUGGGUUUUAACAGGGGGACCAAUGAUUAGCAUUUACGAUGCAAAGACAGAACAACUUCGGAUAGGACCUUAUUCCUGGAUGCCAUUUCCUCAUGUGGAUUUCUGGUUGCAGCACGAUGAUAAAGAAAUACUAGAGAACUUUUCCACGUCACCUUUGGCUGAGCCGCCCCACUUUGUGGAACAUAUUAGAUCUACCUUGAUGUUUUUUUUUAAAAAAAAAAACCCAUCUCCAACUAACAAGCUGUUUCCCGGAAAUAAAGCUCUACUCUACAAAAAAAAAAAAAGAAGAUCUUUCUUAUGGGAAAAGAUCUCUUCUCCAGGAAGCUAACCAUAGGAUAUUACCAAAGAAAGCAACUUUUUGGCAUGACAAAGACCAUUGAUGGGGGCUGGAAAGAACAUG